rnacentral:rRNA from 1 species
UACGUAGGGGGCAAGCGUUGUCCGGAAUUAUUGGGCGUAAAGAGCGCGUAGGCGGUCCGAUAAGUCGGCUGUGAAAGUCAGGGGCUCAACCCUUGAAAGCCGGCCGAUACUGUCGGACUAGAGUCCGGAAGAGGCAAGUGGAAUUCCCGGUGUAGCGGUGAAAUGCGCAGAUAUCGGGAGGAACACCAAUGGCGAAGGCAGCUUGCUGGGACGGUACUGACGCUGAGGCGCG